UUUGCGAAUCUGAAACAACUUUUUUUAAUUUUGUCAAUUUACCAAACCGUGAAAAGAUCCCUUUAAAUUAACGAUUUAUUCUCACGUUCUGUAUUAACCCAGCCAAACAUUUCAUUUCACAAAGUUAACAAAGCCCGUAGUUAAUAUUUUAUUCAUUAGUAAUAUUCAAUAAACAGUUCUAGCGAGGCUAAAUAUUCAUGUUUCAGAUGCUAACAAAUGGAAUGUUGAAUGCUUAGAGAAUCACACGGAACCGUUUGUCGUUUGUCAUGAAUAAUAAAUCAUGACGACGCAUCAAUAGUUUGUUUACUUAGUUCUAGUAUAUCGCAGGUUUGCUUUAGACGGUAGAUUUCUCUGAUGUAGGAUACAUUUAAUGCUGAAAAAAAUCGGAAAUCUUUCCAAAUUGUUGAACGGAUAUUGAUAUAUCGAAGACAUAAAUGUGCAACAUGUCGGGGUGUACGAGAUUUGUCCUGGCCAUUUUGUUCGGGAUCUGGUCAGUUUCGGGAGUGCUAGCAAUUUUUCAGAAGCUUCAGACAAAUGUUAAAUCAACGAGGGGUUUAAUAGCGAACACUACUGUGCCCUUUGUAAGUAGUUUUUACGUUAUUUGUUUUUAAAUAACAAGAAGUAACAAAAAUGAAUUUAUAUAAAAUAGUUCUUUACUGUAAAGCAAGUGAUUGUGUUCCAUGUAUACGAGUAGUCAUGGGUACCGUUAAGUUAAAAGUUUUUGUACCGAAAUGGUAACAUGACUGAAAGAAACGGAUUAUAAAAUAGUAUUAAAAAAACAAAUACUUCUGUGCAACCAGCAAGGUGAAUACGAAAUCAGUUAAUUUUGAUUUAUGAUACUUAUGAUUAAAUAAAGGUUAGAAGAUUCCAAGUGUCUUACUAUUUUUCACAAUUUCAGCACACGAUCACGCUACCGUACGGUCAAUGUAUUGAGCGGUGUUGGAGAACCUCAUCGUGCACGUUCAUGCAGUUUGACGAAAGCACGUCCCUGUGUCAGUUGUAUACCCAGGCAGUCCCAACGCCGGGGGAAGGGACGAGGCAAAUAGUCUCCAUGGCAGACUUUACUCCUGCCUUCCCCGCCUGUACCUGUGCCCCAGGCCACAUGUGUGUAGAUACGUCCGUUGGGCAACAGUGCAUACGGCUGAAGUAACGCUCACAGACAGCAACAUGGCAUGGAAGAAAUAUAUCUUGUCUUUGAAUGCCUAUUUCUGCAAACGCUCAUGGAAUAGUUUAAUUAAAAAAGAAACGAACAGUGUACCAACCAGAAAAUAUAAUGCUGUAGAAAGACCUGACAAAGACUGUUGCAUCUUCUAGAGAAAAAAAACCUUCAAUUUAAUAGAUUCCUUUUUACUUUUACUCAGUCAUGUUUCAACAAUUGAUAUUUUCAAAUAUAAAUAAACACGUACAUAUUUUAUCGGCCAAUUAUAAAGUUCUUUAUUAUUACUAUUAUUAUUAUUACUAUUAUUAUUUAUUGUUUAAAUAGAAAUAUUCAUAGGU